GACGAACGCUGGCGGCGUGCUUAACACAUGCAAGUCGAACGGAAAGGCCCUGCUUGCAGGGUACUCGAGUGGCGAACGGGUGAGUAACACGUGGGUGAUCUGCCCUGCACUUCGGGAUAAGCCUGGGAAACUGGGUCUAAUACCGGCUAGGAGCCAUUUUUAGUGUGAUGGUUGGAAAGUUUUUUCGGUGUUGGAUGAGCUCGCGGCCUAUCAGCUUGUUGGCGGGGUAAUGGCCUACCAAGGCGGCGACGGGUAGCCGGCCUGAGAGGGUGGACGGCCACAUUGGGACUGAGAUACAGCCCAGACUCCUACGGGAGGCAGCAGUGGGGGAGAUUGCACAAUGGGCGCAAGCCUGAUGCAGCGACGCCGCGUGGGGGAUGACGGCCUUCGGGUUGUAAACUCCUUUCGCUAGGGACGAAGCUUUUUGUGACGGUACCUAGAUAAGAAGCACCGGCUAACUACGUG
rnacentral:rRNA from 1 species